UACAGAGGUGGCAAGCGUUGUUCGGAAUUACUGGGCGUAAAGGGCGCGUAGGCGGUCCGAUAAGUCCUGUGUGAAAUCCCUCGGCUCAACUGAGGAACUGCACGGGAGACUGCCGGGCUUGAGUUCGGGAGAGGGAAGCGGAAUUCCGGGUGUAGCGGUGAAAUGCGUAGAUAUCCGGAGGAACACCGGUGGCGAAGGCGGCUUCCUGGACCGACACUGACGCUGAGGCGCGAAAGCUAGGGGAGCGAAUGGG
rnacentral:rRNA from 1 species